rnacentral:rRNA from 1 species
CACGUAGGCGGUCCACUAAGUUGGAUGUGAAAGCCCCGGGCUCAACCCGGGAAGUGCAUACAAAACUGGUGGACUUGAAUAUGGAAGAGGGUCGCGGAAUUCCCGGUGUAGAGGUGAAAUUCGUAGAUAUCGGGAGGAACACCAGUGGCGAAGGCGGCGACCUGGGCCAAUAUUGACGCUGAGGUGCGAAAGCGUGGGGAGCAAACA